rnacentral:rRNA from 1 species
CGAAGGUGGCAAGCGUUACUCGGAAUUACUAGGCGUAAAGCGCAGGUAGGCGGUUCGAUAAGUCUUUUGUGAAAGCUCCCGGCUUAACUGGGAGAGGUCAAGGGAUACUGUCGGACUAGAGUGUGGUAGAGGAAACUGGAAUUCCCGGUGUAGCGGUGAAAUGCGUAGAUAUCGGGAGGAAUACCUAAGGCGAAAGCAGGUUUCUGGGCCAUCACUGACGCUGAGCUGCGAAAGCUAGGGGAGCAAACAGGAUUAGAUACCCUGGUAGUCCUAGCCCUAAACGAUGUUCAUUAGAUGUGGGGGGUAUCGACCCCUUCCGCGUCGACGCUAACGCAUUAAAUGAACCGCCUGGGGAGUACGGCCGCAAGGUUG